rnacentral:rRNA from 1 species
UACGUAGGGUGCAAGCGUUGUCCGGAAUUAUUGGGCGUAAAGAGCUUGUAGGCGGUUUGUCGCGUCUGCUGUGAAAUUUCGGGGCUCAACCCCGAACUUGCAGUGGGUACGGGCAGACUAGAGUGUGGUAGGGGAGACUGGAAUUCCUGGUGUAGCGGUGAAAUGCGCAGAUAUCAGGAGGAACACCGGUGGCGAAGGCGGGUCUCUGGGCCGUAACUGACGCUGAGGAGCGAAAGCAUGGGUAGCGAACAGG